CAGGAGAGAAUCAGCAUCGUCAUGCACCAUGGUGUGACACGCUUGUUAGUUACCGAGAAUUCAGAAAUAAAGCAGAAGGGUGCUACCGGAGCACUAACAGGAGCCUGGAAUUUUGGUACGUGCCAGCUAGACAGUGUCUUCGUGACAACAACCCGGGGGCACUGAGGCUCUAAGGAGGUUCCCACAUUGAAAGGAAGGAGUAUAAUAAAGGCACAGCUGGUCCUAGCAUAGACUGGUACAUCUUGUCUGGAAAGGAAUGUGACAAAAUGUAUCCAAGCUCUCAAACUGAUUAUUCCCUUUGAUGCAGUAAUUCUCAGAACUCCAUUCUAAGGAAAUAAUUAAAGAUAUAAACAAGGACUGAUAAAAUAAUGAUGUUCAUCCAAACCUUAUUUAAAAGAAUGUAAAACUCCCAGCAAACUAUACAUCCCAGAUUAUGUAUUAAAUGUAGUACAAUCGUGGGAUGGACUGUUAUGUUACACUGUCUUUUAAAUAUCUGUUGUGAGGAUAUGUGACACCAGGGAAAUAUGCUCUUAAUAACCACAAGAGAAAGAAAAGAAUAUGAAAACUCUCUGCAGUGUGCUUUUUGCUUUGAAGAAAACAACAGUGCUGUGUGAAUAUACACGUGCAAGUAUUUGGGGAGGACUAGAAAAGAAGAUGGAAGAAAAUAUAUCAGAGUAUCGCUAGAAGCUGAUCUGUGCAUGGUGGGGUGA